CGACCUCAGAGCAGGCGAGACUACCCGCUGAAUUUAAGCAUAUUACUAAGCGGAGGAAAAGAAACUAACAAGGAUUCCCCCAGUAGCGGCGAGCGAACAGGGAAGAGUCCAGCACCGAACCCCGCAGGCUGCCGCCUGUCGUGGCAUGUGGUGUUUGGGAGGGUCCACUACCCCGACGCCUCGCGCCGAGCCCAAGUCCAACUUGAAUGAGGCCACGGCCCGUAGAGGGUGCCAGGCCCGUAGCGGCCGGUGCGAGCGUCGGCGGGACCUCUCCUUCGAGUCGGGUUGCUUGAGAGUGCAGCUCCAAGUGGGUGGUAAACUCCAUCUGAGACUAAAUAUGACCACGAGACCGAUAGCGAACAAGUACCGUGAGGGAAAGUUGAAAAGAACUUUGAAGAGAGAGUUCAAAAGUACGUGAAACCGUUCUGGGGUAAACGUGAGAAGUCCGAAAGGUCGAACGGGUGAGAUUCACGCCCAUCCGGCCACUGGCCUCCGCCCUCGGCAGAUGGGGCCGGCCGCCCGCGCGGAGCAAUCCGCGGCGGGGUCGUGUCCGGUUGCCUUUCCACUCGCCGCGGGGUGGGGCCGUUCCGGUGUGCGGUGGGCCGCACUUCUCCCCUAGUAGGACGUCGCGACCCGCUGGGUGCCGGCCUACGGCCCGGGUGCGCAGCCUGUCCUUCCGCGGGCCUCGGUUCGCGUCUGUUGGGCAGAGCCCCGGUGUCCUGGCUGGCUGCCCGGCGGUAUAUCUGGAGGAGUCGAUUCGCCCCUUUGGGCGCUCGGGCUCCCGGCAAGCGCGCGCGGUUCUUCCCGGAUGACGGACCUACCUGGCCCGGCCCCGGACCCGCGCCGCUGUUGGCUCGGGAUGCUCUCGGGCGGAAUAAUCGCUCCCGUCAGCGGCGCUUCAGCUUUGGACAAUUUCACGACCCGUCUUGAAACACGGACCAAGGAGUCUAACAUGUGCGCGAGUCAUUGGGCUGUACGAAACCUAAAGGCGUAAUGAAAGUGAAGGUCUCGCCUUGCGCGGGCCGAGGGAGGAUGGGGCUUCCCCGCCCUUCACGGGGCGGCGGCCUCCGCACUCCCGGGGCGUCUCGUCCUCAUUGCGAGGUGAGGCGCACCUAGAGCGUACACGUUGGGACCCGAAAGAUGGUGAACUAUGCCUGGCCAGGACGAAGUCAGGGGAAACCCUGAUGGAGGUCCGUAGCGAUUCUGACGUGCAAAUCGAUCGUCGGAGCUGGGUAUAGGGGCGAAAGACUAAUCGAACCAUCUAGUAGCUGGUUCCCUCCGAAGUUUCCCUCAGGAUAGCUGGUGCUCGUACGAGUCUCAUCCGGUAAAGCGAAUGAUUAGAGGCCUUGGGGCCGAAACGACCUCAACCUAUUCUCAAACUUUAAAUGGGUGAGAUCUCCGGCUUGCUUGAUAUGCUGAAGCCGCGAGCAAACGACUCGGAUCGGAGUGCCAAGUGGGCCACUUUUGGUAAGCAGAACUGGCGCUGUGGGAUGAACCAAACGCCGAGUUAAGGCGCCCGAAUCGACGCUCAUGGGAAACCAUGAAAGGCGUUGGUUGCUUAAGACAGCAGGACGGUGGCCAUGGAAGUCGGAAUCCGCUAAGGAGUGUGUAACAACUCACCUGCCGAAGCAACUAGCCCUGAAAAUGGAUGGCGCUGAAGCGUCGUGCCUAUACUCGGCCGUCAGUCUGGCAGUCAUGGCCGGUCCUUGCGGCCGGCCGCGAAGCCCUGACGAGUAGGAGGGUCGCGGCGGUGGGCGCAGAAGGGUCUGGGCGUGAGCCUGCCUGGAGCCGCCGUCGGUGCAGAUCUUGGUGGUAGUAGCAAAUACUCCAGCGAGGCCCUGGAGGGCUGACGCGGAGAAGGGUUUCGUGUGAACAGCCGUUGCACACGAGUCAGUCGAUCCUAAGCCCUAGGAGAAAUCCGAUGUUGAUGGGGGCCGUCAUAGCAUGAUGCGCUUUGUGCUGGCCCCCGUUGGGCGAAAGGGAAUCCGGUUCCUAUUCCGGAACCCGGCAGCGGAACCGAUACAAGUCGGGCCCCUCUUUUAGAGAUGCUCGUCGGGGUAACCCAAAAGGACCCGGAGACGCCGUCGGGAGAUCGGGGAAGAGUUUUCUUUUCUGCAUGAGCGUUCGAGUUCCCUGGAAUCCUCUAGCAGGGAGAUAGGGUUUGGAACGCGAAGAGCACCGCAGUUGCGGCGGUGUCCCGAUCUUCCCCUCGGACCUUGAAAAUCCGGGAGAGGGCCACGUGGAGGUGUCGCGCCGGUUCGUACCCAUAUCCGCAGCAGGUCUCCAAGGUGAAGAGCCUCUAGUCGAUAGAAUAAUGUAGGUAAGGGAAGUCGGCAAAUUGGAUCCGUAACUUCGGGAUAAGGAUUGGCUCUGAGGAUCGGGGCGUGUCGGGCUUGGUCGGGAAGUGGGUCAGCGCUAACGUGCCGGGCCUGGGCGAGGUGAGUGCCGUAGGGGUGCCGGUAAGUGCGGGCGUUUAGCGCGGGCGUGGUCUGCUCUCGCCGUUGGUCGGCCUCGUGCUGGCCGGCGGUGCAGGAUGCGCGCGCCUGCGCGGCGUUCGCGCCCCGGUGCUUCAACCUGCGUGCAGGAUCCGAGCUCGGUCCCGUGCCUUGGCCUCCCACGGAUCUUCCUUGCUGCGAGGCCGCGUCCGCCUUAGCGUGCUCCUCCGGGGGCGCGCGGGUGCGCGGAUUCUCUUCGGCCGCCAUUCAACGAUCAACUCAGAACUGGCACGGACUGGGGGAAUCCGACUGUCUAAUUAAAACAAAGCAUUGCGAUGGCCCUAGCGGGUGUUGACGCAAUGUGAUUUCUGCCCAGUGCUCUGAAUGUCAACGUGAAGAAAUUCAAGCAAGCGCGGGUAAACGGCGGGAGUAACUAUGACUCUCUUAGUAGUCGACGAAGCUAUAUGGAGGCACCUCGCCGGCCUGCCGCGGUCGGCCGCGCGCUUCUCGGCCCUGGACGACCUUGCGUGUUUGGGGCCGGGUACGCCGUUGGCAGUGGUCGCGGCUGGGCUGCCUGAGGCCCUCCGUGCUGUCGGCUCUGAGGAAGCAGGAGCAAGGAAGAGGAAGACGUUGCGCCCGCCAUCCAAGCAGCGGUCUGGUGGUGGCCCUCCGCUCUCCAAGCGGAAGCGCCGCCGGUGGGAAUAUGCCAGAUGUCAGGAUGCCUUCAGGAAGAAUCGCGCGCGCUGCGUGCGUGGUCUCCUGGAUGGCACCCUGCUCCAGCCGCCGUCGAACAUCCCUGGGCUGGUGGACUUCUGGCGCAGCCUCUUCACGACAGAGCCACCUUCCAACGCUGGCUCCAUUCCCGACCGGCUUCUCCCGCGCUCGGAGUCUGUUGACUUUGAGCGCCUAUGGAGGCCGAUCACUGCAGAAGAGGUUGCGGCCGCCCUGCCGCCCAGAGGCUCCGUUGCCGGCCCUGACGGCCUCUCGCCGGUGCAGCUGCGCCGCCUUCCAGCGGAGGUCACCACCAAACUCCUAAACCUUUUCCUGCUCACCCGCAAGCUCCCCCCUUCCCUCCUCCGAGCCAGGACCUCUUUGCUGCCUAAGACAGCCGCCCCAGCAUCCCCCGCUGACUUUCGGCCCAUCACCGUCUGCUCGGUGCUAGCCCGAACCUUCCAUAAGGUUCUGGCGACUCGCCUUAUGCAGAUGUGUGCUGUGGACGAACGUCAGCGGGCUUUCAUCCCAAGGGAUGGGAUGCUGGAGAACACUUUCCUACUCGACCGGAUACUCGUCGGCGCCGUCCGCCGCUGUCGUUCUGUGUUCAUGGCAUCCCUCGAUGUGUCCAAGGCGUUCGAUUCGUUGGACCAUGCGGCUUUGCGUCCUGUGCUUAAAGCCCAUGGUCUGCCGGACGAAUUCAUUGACUACGUCGAGGGCUGCUAUGCGGACAGCACGACGGUAAUUGCGGGGGGUGGCGACGAGUCUCCGGCCGUGCGGCCAGCAAGAGGUGUUCGGCAAGGAGAUCCUCUGUCCCCUCUCCUGUUCAAUUUCGCUGUUGAUUAUGUUCUAGAUCAGCUGCCCUCACACGUAGGUGUCAAGGUGUUGGGCCGCCAGACGAACGCGGCGGCCUUCGCGGAUGACAUCCUGCUCUUCGCCUCCACGAGGGGGGGCCUGCAGUCCCUUAUCAACGCAGCAGUAGCAGCCCUCGACCAGCUGGGGCUGCGUGUUAACCCGCGGAAGUGUCUCACCCUCGCACUCGUGGCGUCCGGCCGCGAGAAGAAAGUGAAAGUGGAUGCGAGCGUCACCUUCACGGCCGGCGAAACCACCAUGCCGGCGUUGGGAGUGGGUGAGACCUUCCGCUACCUGGGACUGCAGUUCUCCUCCUCUGGGCGGUGUCUCUUCCAUCCGAGGCACCACAUCGAGGAGCAGCUGUCGAUCAUCACGCGGGCGCCGCUGAAGCCGCAGCAGCGGCUCUUUGCACUUCGUGAGGUCCUUCUCCCGGGCCUGUAUCAUGGCCUAGCACUGAGUCGCACCCGCAUCGGUGCGCUCAAGGCCAUGGACAACUGUGUUCGAGCCGCCGUGAGGAGAUGGUUCCGCCUCCCUGCCGACACCCCCUUGGGCUACUUUCACGCUCCAAUUGCCCAUGGGGGCCUUGGGAUUCCAUCAGCCCGCUGGAUAGGGCCAACCCUGAGGCGGGGCAGGCUCCUCACCCUGUUGCAGCUCGAGACCACCACCACCGACGCAGACCUGGGGGAGGCACGACACGAAGUGGCGGCGCUUGAACGACACCUCACGUGGGAGGGCCAUCUGCUGCCAACGGCUGCAAAAGUUGGUGAGAUGUGGGCGGCGCGCCUGCAUAUUUCCUUCGACGGGGCAGCUCUCUCGUCGUCAGCCAGGACAUCAGGCCAACAUAGCUGGGUCGAGGACACCAGUCGCUUCCUGUCUGGCCGUGACUACGUCGCGUGCAUCCGCACGCGCAUUAACGCUAUACCAUCCAAGGCGCGCAGGAGUCGCGGCCGAGACAGGGAGAAGAUGUGUCGCGCAAGAUGCAACGCCGUCGAGACCGCGAAC